UCCAAAAAACCCAAAGCUCCCAGAACUUGGUUCACCUCUUCCUAGUUUAAUCACUUUUUUAACAGAGAAGAGGCUGGAAAUGAAAUAAAGAAAAUGAAUGAAUGAAAUAAUGGAAGAAUGACUGAGCUACUGGGCUGCUUUCUAAUUAUUUAAAGGACCACACACAUCCAUGUCUUCGCCAUACUGUGAGCCUCUUCUAUAUGAGAAGACACAUCUACUGUAUUAAUAGAAAAGCCUGACCUACAGCUAUCAAUAAAUCUCACUAAACUGUGCAUUUCAAAUUGAUAACUAUCUGCAGAAUGUAAUGUUAAAGGCACUGAAAUAAAGGCUUUAUCCAUUCAUACCUGUGCUUGGCUAGGUAUAUUCUCAGUAAUGUGGGUUGUGGUUAGUGCUCUUUGGAAGAGGAGUUCUGAAUUGUAAAGACUGCGUUUUUAUCACAAGGGAGGUAUUUUACUUGAACUUGGCUUCUGAUGACUGUAAAAAUCAGAUCUCCAAGAGACAUCACUGAAAGAGAAAAUAAUCUGAUGCUUAAAAGAGUUUAAGUGUCUACUGACAGUCAAAGCAUUUCUUCUUCCCUCCCUCCUUAUUUUUCUGUUGUGUAUUUUAGGGAUAUCUGAGAACCACAGUUGUGAUUGUUAUGAUCUUUUUAGUCAUCGCUUUGCUCUAUAUAGGUUUUAUGUUACAGUUUAUAAGAUGCUGAACAUUUGCUGAGAGAUCAAAGUACUUAUCAUAAUGAGAAAAAUGUACGUAACAACAGUUGUAUAGCAAGGGUAAGGAUUGCCUGAAGCAGAACAAAUUUCUACCGAUUGCCUGACAACGUAAAGAUAAUAUAGCAGUACAAUCAUGAGAAUAAUAUCACUUAAUAAGUCACUGCUCUUAUAUGUCUUACAGUGAAACUUACCAUUUUAUAAACUAAUAAACACAUUUUCUGCUUGAUUAGCUGUUUUAUGUCCAGAAAACCUACAAUAAAAUCCUCUUCCUUGAAACUCA